rnacentral:rRNA from 1 species
GGAUGAACGCUGGCGGCGUGCUUAACACAUGCAAGUCGAACGAUGAAGCUGGAGCUUGCUCUGGUGGAUUAGUGGCGAACGGGUGAGUAACACGUGAGUAACCUGCCCUUGACUCUGGGAUAAGCGUUGGAAACGACGUCUAAUACCGGAUACGACGCGCGAAGGCAUCUUCUGCGCGUGGAAAGAAUUUCGGUCAAGGAUGGACUCGCGGCCUAUCAGCUAGUUGGCGGGGUAAAGGCCCACCAAGGCUACGACGGGUAGCUGGUCUUAGAGGACGACCAGCCACACUGG